GCAGCCAUCAUUCAAAGAGUGCGUAAUAGCUCACUGGUCGAGUGGCUCUGCGCCGAAAAUGUACCGGGGCUGAAACGUAUCACCGAAACUGCGGAUGGGCACGGAAGUGUCCAUGGUAGGAGAGCGUUCUAAACGCGGGGAAGCAAGACCGGGAGGACUUGUGGAGCGUUUAGAAGUGAGAAUGCCGGUAUGAGUAGCGAAAGAAGGGUGAGAAUCCCUUCCACCGAAAGCCUAAGGUUUCCUGAGGAAGGCUCGUCCGCUCAGGGUUAGUCGGGGCCUAAGCCGAGGCCGAAAGGCGUAGGCGAAGGGGAACAGG
rnacentral:rRNA from 1 species